rnacentral:lncRNA from 1 species
CAGAUAGCUCUCAGGAUGGGCAACUAUGAGCUCAUAAACCUAUUACUGAGGCAUGGGGCCAACGUCAACUACUUCUGCCGAGUUAACCCUCUGCAUUUCCCAUCAGCACUGCAAUACACAUUGAAAGAUGAAGUCAUGCUCAGGAUGCUGUUGAACUAUGGCUAUGACACUGAGCGAUGCUUUGACUGUCCUCACGGGGAAAGGGUUCAUCGUUGUUGUACUUUUGAAGGCUGGACAUCUACCGUUAUUAAAGAUACUAUGCACCUCUCAGGAAAAGUCGUUCGUGUGAUGCUUGAUUAUGUUGACCAAGUUCAAAUCUGUUCAAAAUUGAAAGCCGUGCUCGAAAAACAAAAGCUCUGGCCAGAAAUACAUGUUAUCUUGACAAACCCCCGUUCUCUACAACACUUAUGCCGCCUCAAGAUCCGGAAGUGCAUGGGACGGUUACGCCUGCGCUGCCCGGUCUUCAUGUCGUUUCUUCCGCUGCCCAAUCUCUUAAAAGCUUACGUCCUUUACAAGGAGUAUGACCUUUAUGGUCAAGGAAGCUCUACAGGCACACGGUAAACUGGGCUCUGCUGGACGGAGAGGUAAAAGCUGCAACAUCC